rnacentral:rRNA from 1 species
UACGUACCGGACGAACGUUAUUCGGAAUCACUGGGCUUAAAGAGUGCGUAGGCGGCCUAGCAGGUGAGGUGUGAAAUCCCACGGCUCAACCGUGGAAUGGCGCUUCAAACCGCUAGGCUGGAGGGAGACAGGGGUGAGCGGAACUGAUGGUGGAGCGGUGAAAUGCGUUGAUAUCAUCAGGAACACCAGUGGCGAAGGCGGCUCACUGGGUCUCUUCUGACGCUGAGGCACGAAAGCUAGGGGAGCAAACGGG